rnacentral:tRNA from 1 species
GAGCAGGCGGCGGGCUGUAGACCCGUUUACGGGGCGGAUAGCUCCUCCGACCA